rnacentral:tRNA from 1 species
GGGAAAUAAUUNCCCCCUCAGUGA